AGUGGCGCGGGCGCUGGGGAGGGGCUAAGGAGAGGGGUCACUUCGUCCCCUCACCCUCCCUCUCUGCCUUGUCCGGGCCCUGAGUGUCGCCCCAGAACGGGUUGAGGGAAUGUUGUGGGUUGGGACACACCCGGGAGGGCACAAACUGGAGGAAGCGAGAGACGUCGCCAGGCACCCAGGGCCCUCUCCUUCCAGUUCCCCGAGCCUGCCCGGUCCCGCUGGCUUCUCCCUCUAUAGCGCCCAAUCUGCCCCGGGCAGUCCCGGGCUGGCAGCCUGACCCAGUACCCCGGGCGCUUGAGUGUCAUGUCCCCGGAUCACUGCUUGGGCCCCCACUUUGGGGAAGAUGCACGCGAGUACCGCUUCCCCGGGGCUCGCCCUGAAUCAGGCGCCUGCGCUCUCAGGGGCGCCCACCCUACCCCGACGGCCGAGUUUGCGCACCUCCUGAGACAGUUUGAGAGAAGGACAAACUUUUGAGUGGAUAAAAAUCAAGAGGAACCCGUCUGGAGCAGGGGUCCUCUUUCCCUUGAAUGGAGAAGCUGGUCGAUUCUGCCUCUUGGCCGUCUCUUCAAGGAAUGCCCCUGAUUAGCCGGGCCUGCCGCCGCCAUCCACAUUUGCUCAGCAAAGAAGGGAGGCCUCUUAUUGCAGGCCUUGGUGGAGGGGUUCCAGACUGUCUGCCUGGAGCAGCCUCCUUGCCCCAAGCCUGGCCCCGCUGGGAAAGAGGGAACCCAAUUCACUUCGCAGGAUCCGGAAUCUUGAAUCACCAGGGGCAGAGCCAACAGCUGCGACUGCAUCCUCGAGUCUGAGCCUGACGCUGGAAGCAGCUUCUGUCUUUGGGUUCUCCUUGCUGCCUCGGUCUCUGCUCUGUUCGGCUUGCUAUUGUGUUUUUCUCUCUCAUUUAGGGGUUUUGGGGGACAGGGAAAGGAAAUGUUUCUCCUCGGGCCCCUAAUCCUUCCCCACGCCCCUGCCAAACCUUAAAGCUGCUGAUGGUAAUGAGCUGCAGCUUCUGGCCCUGCUCACAAGCUACUCAAAGCAAAUUCAAAUUCUCUUCUGGGCAGGAGGGAAGACAGAUACUCCUUCCUCAGUCCUCCCUUGCUCAUUGAUCCAUUUUAAGGGCAUUUGGGGGUCAAAAUUGAGACCGGAUCGCUUCUGUUGGUGUAAACUUAGCAUUUUUUAUCACGCCAAAGGCCCAGAUUUCUCAAAUCAAGGAAUAGGAGGGCUUCACCCAGACCCACACCUCUUCUCUGGCCUUCUCUGAUGAUAAAGGUUUGUUGAGGCGGAGGAAGAGAAGGGAAAUGAGUAGUUUGUUCUAUCAAGAAAUCAAUCAGUAGCUGCAGCUGUUCAUGCCACUGAUAUUUAUUUAGUAUCUACUAUGUGCAAAGCAUUGUCCCUACCUCUGUUUGUCAUGACGGUCAGUAAUGAGAUUCUUGCCACUGUGAGGCUUUAAUGCAUGUGGACAAAUACAUAAAUAAAUGAACUGAUGGAAAAGAAA